UUUCAUAUUGGGUUGAGAUGUAGGUAUCACUUAUCGCAAUGUCACACUAUAUUCAUUGAUAUGUUGGUUGAUAGAACUUCCUAGCUUAUGUGAUAGAUAAGUUUAUUGCUUAUCAUAUAAAUGUAUGCGUAUUAGUAUGGUGAUACUAUUCAUCUUCCCAUGUCCUCAUGCCAUUUCUGCUCUAAAUCAUAGGCAAGAGGAUGCAUAUGACUAAGUGGAUGAGUGUUAUAAGAAGACCAAGUUCGUAGCUGCAUAUCAGAACAUGAUUCAACCCAUACGAGGAGAGAAAUUUUGGAAAAAGACUAAUAAGGAGGCCCCUGAAUCACUUCCAGCGAGGGCGAAGCCUGGUAGACGCAAACAUAAAAGAAUAAGAGAGGAAGGUGAGGUCGCAAGUGGUAUUAGGAUGUCGAGGGUAGGAAUGAAGAUGACAUGUCGAAGUUGCAAGAAGACGGGACACAAUAGUUUAACAUGCCCCACUAAGAAGGCUGGGUUAGCGGCAUCACAAACACCAUUGUCUAGGCAAAAACUUCCGGUAAGUUAAGAGUAAAAGUGCUAGAGAGGACAAGAGACAAAGAAUUGAUACACAAGCACAUGUUGAAUCAACAUCACAAGAAGCUGAAGUUGAAGUUCCAGUUAAAGUAGCAAGGCCAUCAAGAAAGAAAAAAAAUAUUGAAAGGACGCAACUCUGACCUAUAAGAAUGAUAGCCAUUUGUGAGGGUUGGGUUUAGGGAAGUGAUGUGGCUGUAUUUUUUUGUUGAUGAUGGGUUCAGGGAAGUGAUGUGGUUGUUUUUGUUCUUUUGUUGCUGAUGGAUUCAGUGAAUGAGAUGUUGACUAUUCCAUUAUGCAAUGAUCGUGGGAAAGAUAGUCUAGUUA